rnacentral:lncRNA from 1 species
UCUUUAAAGCAAGCAAAAUGUUACCCACCUUAGAGAGCUUAGUGGACAUUAAUGAGACUGUGUGAAGCAUUUAGGAUAGUGUCCAGAUCGGUGGCUAUUCCGUGAAUGGUGUUCUCCCCAGCUGAGCUACCGGACUCCCCUAAUAUAUCAUCGAAGAGAUUUGCUGGGCCCCAGACUUUUGCAAGAGCUUUUAUUCUUUCAAAGCUCAUCCUGGGUUCUACUUUCUCACAUGUAUCUGUUAUUUCUUUGCUUCUGGUACAAAUCAUUGAACAGGUGGUGGCCAUUCUGUGCCAUGCCUUGUUGAGUUCUACGUUCUCAAGGUACAAAGAUAAUGAAUGAAAUAAGGUCCAUGGCCCUUGGUCUAGCUUUCUACAAUGAGAGUCAAUCAAGAUGACAAACUAGCCCAUGUACAUCUAUUAAUAGACAGUCCCUUUCAGGUAAGAGAUUUGCGUUUUACUGGGAGCCUUUUGAAGAUAGUGACUUACCUUCGAAGCAUUUUUUAAAAGAAUGAAAUAAACCCAAACCAAGAAAUGAAACCUUAAAAAUGUUUUUUUCUAACAUUGAAAGCAGUAGAGCAG